rnacentral:rRNA from 1 species
GAUUAACGCCGGCGGCAUGCCUAACACAUGCAAGUCGAGUGCACUUCGGGUGCACGGCAGACGGCCGAGUAACGCGUGGGAACGUACCCUUGGGUCGAGCAUAACCUGCCGAAAGGCAGGAUAAUUCUCGAUAGUCUCUUCGGAGUAAAGAUUUAUCGCCCAAGGAGCGGCCUGCGUUCGAUUAGCUAGUUGGUAGGGUAAUGGCCUACCAAGGCUGUGAUCGAUAGUUGGUCUGAGAGGAUGACCUGCCAGACUGGGACUGAGACACGGCCCAAACUACUACGGGAGGCAGCAGUGAGAAAUUUUGCGCAAUGGACGAAAGUCUGACGCAGCAAUGCCGCGUGGAGGAUGAAGGCCUCCGGGUUGUAAGCUCCUUUUUUAUAGGAAGAUUAUGACGGUACCGUAAGAAUAAGAGCCUGCUAACUACGUGCCAGCCGCCGCGGUAA